rnacentral:rRNA from 1 species
UGAGGAAUAUUGCACAAUGGGCGCAAGCCUGAUGCAGCGACGCCGCGUGUGGGAUGAAGGGGCUACGCCUCGUAAACCACUGUAGCCCGGGACGAAAAACGCCUUAGAGGCGUUAGACGGUACCGGGAAAGUAAGGGUCGGCUAACUACGUGCCAGCAGCCGCGGUAAUACGUAGGACCCAAGCGUUGUCCGGAUUUACUGGGUGUAAAGGGUGCGCAGGCGGAUGGGUAAGUCAGGGGUGAAAGUCUGCAGCUUAACUGUAGAAUUGCCUUUGGUACUGCUAAUCUUGAGUGUGGGAGAGGUUGAUGGAAUUCCAGGUGUAGCAGUGAAAUGCGUAGAGAUGUGGAGGAACACCGAUUGCGAAGGCAGCCCCCUGGGCCUGUACUGACGCUCAUGCACGAAAGCGUGGGGAGCAAACA